rnacentral:rRNA from 1 species
AUUGAACGCUGGCGGCAGGCUUAACACAUGCAAGUCGAGCGGAGGUGAGGUGCUUGCACCUUAUCUUAGCGGCGGACGGGUGAGUAAUGCUUAGGAAUCUGCCUAUUAGUGGGGGACAACAUUCCGAAAGGAAUGCUAAUACCGCAUACGUCCUACGGGAGAAAGCAGGGGAUCUUCGGACCUUGCGCUAAUAGAUGAGCCUAAGUCGGAUUAGCUAGUUGGUAGGGUAAAGGCCUACCAAGGCGACGAUCUGUAGCGGGUCUGAGAGGACGAUCCGCCACACUGGGACUGAGACACGGCCCAGACUCCUACGGGAGGCAGCAGUGGGGAAUAUUGGACAAUGGGGGGAACCCUGAUCCAGCCAUGCCGCGUGUGUGAAGAAGGCCUUAUGGUUGUAAAGCACUUUAAGCGAGGAGGAGGCUACUGUGACUAAUACUCUAGGAUAGUGGACGUUACUCGCAGAAUAAGCACCGGCUAACUCUGUGCCAGCCGCCGCGGUAAAAC